rnacentral:rRNA from 1 species
UGCCUUUCGGUUCGGAAUAACCCAGGGAAACUUGGGCUAAUACCGGAUACGCCCUCCGGGGGAAAGAUUUAUCGCCGAAAGAUCGGCCCGCGUCGGAUUAGCUUGUUGGUGGGGUAAUGGCCUACCAAGGCAACGAUCCGUAGCUGGUCUGAGAGGAUGAUCAGCCACACUGGGACUGAGACACGGCCCAGACUCCUACGGGAGGCAGCAGUGGGGAAUAUUGGACAAUGGGCGAAAGCCUGAUCCAGCCAUGCCGCGUGAGUGAAGAAGGCCUUAGGGUUGUAAAGCUCUUUCAGCGGGGAAGAUAAUGACGGUACCCGCAGAAGAAGCCCCGGCUAACUCCGUGCCAGCAGCCGCGGUAAUACGGAGGGGGCUAGCGUUGUUCGGAAUUACUGGGCGUAAAGCGCGCGUAGGCGGACUUUCAAGUCAGGGGUGAAAUCCCGGGGCUUAACCUCGGAACUGCCUUUGAUACUGUUGGUCUUGAGUCCGGGAGAGGUGAGCGGAAUUCCUAGUGUAGAGGUGAAAUUCGUAGAUAUUAGGAAGAACACCAGUGGCGAAGGCGGCUCACUGGCCCGGUACUGACGCUGAGGCGCGAAAGCGUGGGGAGCAAACAGGAUUAGAUACCCU